rnacentral:rRNA from 1 species
CCUACGGGAGGCAGCAGUAGGGAAUCUUCCACAAUGGGCGAAAGCCUGAUGGAGCAACGCCGCGUGAGCGAAGAAGGUCUUCGGAUCGUAAAGCUCUGUUGUAAGGGAAGAACAAGUGCAGUAGUAACUGGCUGCACCUUGACGGUACCUUACUAGAAAGCCACGGCUAACUACGUGCCAGCAGCCGCGGUAAU